CCUACGGGAGGCAGCAGUAGGGAAUCUUCCACAAUGGACGAAAGUCUGAUGGAGCAACGCCGCGUGAGUGAAGAAGGGUUUCGGCUCGUAAAGCUCUGUUGGUAGUGAAGAAAGAUAGAGGUAGUAACUGGCCUUUAUUUGACGGUAAUUACUUAGAAAGUCACGGAUAACUACGUGCCAGCAGCCGCGGUAAUACGUAGGUGGCAAGCGUUGUCCGGAUUUAUUGGGCGUAAAGCGAGUGCAGGCGGUUCAAUAAGUCUGAUGUGAAAGCCUUCGGCUCAACCGGAGAAUUGAAUCAGAAUCUGUUGAAGUUGAGUGCAGAAGAGGAGAGUGGAACUCCAUGUGUAGCGGUGGAAUGCGUAGAUAUAUGGAAGAACACCAGUGGCGAAGGCGGCUAUCUGGUCUGCAACUGACGCUGAGGCUCGAAAGCAUGGGUAGCGAACAGGAUUAGAUACCCUAGUAGUC
rnacentral:rRNA from 1 species